rnacentral:tRNA from 1 species
GGGGCCGUAGCCCAACCGGCAGAGGCACACGGUUUAGGUCCGUGCCAGUGUGGGUUCGACUCCCACCGGCCCCACCA